AACGAACGCUGGCGGCAUGCCUAACACAUGCAAGUCGAACGAGACCUUCGGGUCUAUUGGCUCACGGGUGCGUAACGCGUGGGAACCUGCCCUUAGGUUCGGAAUAACUCGCCGAAAGGGGUUCUAAUACCGGAUAAUUACUUCGGACCAAAUAUUGAUCGCCUUUGGAUGGGCCCGCGCUGGAUUACCUAGUUGAUAGGGUAAAAGCCUACGAAGGCGACGAGCCGUAGCUGGUAUGAGAGGAUGAUCAGCCACACUGUGACUGAGAAACGGCCCAGACUCUUGCGGGAGGCAGGAGUGGGGGAUAUUGGACAAUGGGCGAAAGGCUGAUGCAGCAAUGCCGCGUGAGUGCUGAAGGCCUUAGGGUUGUAAAGCUCUUUUACCCGGGAUGAUAAUGACAGUACCGGGAGAAUAAGCUCCGGCUAACUCCGUG
rnacentral:rRNA from 1 species